GAAGAAGAAGGGAAAGAUGGAGAACAUAAAGAGGAAUUUAUAAUGGCCUCUUCUUCUUCUCUUUGUUGUUCGUCCUUUUUCAUUCCUCUCUCCAACCUCGCAAAAUUAAAUCGAUUUUUAUGAAUCCAAGUAAAAAGUUGCUGCACUCCUGUUUUUUCGAGCAAAUAAUCUCUCUGGGUAGACAACCAAGCAACAGGGUGCCAUUGAAUUUCUUCAAUUUCUCCCCUCGUUUUUGGUGAAAAUUCCAUUGAAUCUGAGACACCAGGCAUGAUAAAUAAU
rnacentral:RNase_P_RNA from 13 species